rnacentral:rRNA from 1 species
UACGUAGGGUCCGAGCGUUGUCCGGAGUUACUGGGCGUAAAGCGCGCGCAGGCGGCGGUGCUGGCCCGGCGUGAAAGCCCCCGGCUCAACCGGGGAAGUGGGGCCGAAACGACCCGUCUCGAGGGACGUAGGGGGAUCUGGAACUUCCGGUGGAGCGGUGAAAUGCGUUGAGAUCGGAAGGAACGCCCGUGGCGAAAGCGAGAUCCUGGACGUUUUCUGACGCUGAGACGCGAAAGCUAGGGGAGCAAACGGG